rnacentral:rRNA from 1 species
GACGAACGCUGGCGGCGUGCUUAACACAUGCAAGUCGAACGGAAAGGCCCUGCUUUUGUGGGGUGCUCGAGUGGCGAACGGGUGAGUAACACGUGAGUGACCUGCCCUUGACUUUGGGAUAACUUCAGGAAACUGGGGCUAAUACCGGAUAGGAGCUCCUGCUGCAUGGUGGGGGUUGGAAAGUUUCGGCGGUUGGGGAUGGACUCGCGGCUUAUCAGCUUGUUGGUGGGGUAGUGGCUUACCAAGGCUUUGACGGGUAGCCGGCCUGAGAGGGUGACCGGCCACAUUGGGACUGAGAUACGGCCCAGACUCCUACGGGAGGCAGCAGUGGGGAAUAUUGCACAAUGGGCGGAAGCCUAAUGCAGCAACGCCGCGUGCGGGAUGACGGCCUUCGGGUUGUAAACCGCUUUCGCCUGUGACGAAGCGUGAGUGACGGUAAUGGGUAAAGAAGCACCGGCUAACUACGUG